AAAUAAAAGAAGAAACAAGCUUUCAAUUUUUAUC
rnacentral:sRNA from 1 species